AUGCAGUCGAGCGGACAGAUGGGAGCUUGCUCCCUGAUGUCAGCGGCGGACGGGUGAGUAACACGUGGGUAACCUGCCUGUAAGACUGGGAUAACUCCGGGAAACCGGGGCUAAUACCGGAUGCUUGAUUGAACCGCAUGGUUCAAUUAUAAAAGGUGGCUUUUACCUACCACUUACAAAUGGACCCGCGGCGCAUUACCUAGUUGGUGAGGUAACGGCUCACCAAGGCAACAAUGCGUACCCAACCUGAAAGGGUGAUCGGCCACACUGGGACUGAAACACGGCCCAAACUCCUACGGGAGGCAGCAGUAGGGAAUCUUCCGCAAUGGACAAAAGUCUGACGGAGCAACGCCGCGUGAGUGAUGAAGGUUUUCGGAUCGUAAAACUCUGUUGUUAGGGAAAAACAAGUACCGUUCGAAUAGGGCGGUACCUUGACGGUACCUAACCAAAAAGCCACGGCUAACUACGUGCCAGCAGCCGCGGUAAUACGUAGGUGGCAAGCGUUGUCCGGAAUUAUUGGGCGUAAAGCGCGCGCAGGCGGUUUCUUAA
rnacentral:rRNA from 1 species